GGGCUCGUAGCUCAGCUAGGUAGAGCGGCAGGCUCUUAACCUGUUGGUCAGGGGUUCGAAUCCCCUCGAGCCCG
rnacentral:tRNA from 2 species